rnacentral:misc_RNA from 1 species
UCCUGCCCAGUGACAUAGUUCAACGGCCGCGGUAUCCUAACCGUGCAAAGGUAGCAUAAUCACUUGCCCAUUAAUUGUGGGCUAGAAUGAACGGACCAACGAAAUAAAAACUGUCUCUAUAAGCGACAUAAAAAUUAAUCUCUAAUUGAAGAACAUUAGAUCAAAUCGAAGGACAAGAAGACCCUAUAGAGCUUUAUUUUAACUUAGACCAAAAUCUAAAUAAAGAUUCGGUUGGGGCGACCGAGGACACACAUAUCAUCCUCUAAUAAAAAGAUUAAUAAAUCAAAAAUUUGACCCUAAAAAUAGAGCAUAAAAACAAGCUACCUUAGGGAUAACAGGCUAAUCCCACUAGAGAGUCCUUAUCAAUAGCGGGGGUUGGCACCUCGAUGUUGGCUUAGGGAAACUAUGUGGCGCAAAAGUCACAUAAAGAUGGUUUGUUCAACCAAUAAAACCCUACAUGAGCUGAGUUCAGACCGGCGUAAGCCAGGUUAGUUUCUAUCCACGAUACUAAACACCUAUUUAUAGUACGAAAGGACCUAAAUAAGGGUAAAUAUUAUAUAAAAAGAAUUAAUAUAAAUAAAGUAUAAGCCCAAUAACUUAUAAACUAUAAAGUAAGUUGGCAGAAUAGUGCCACCGACUUAGGAUCGGUACAUGGGGAUACCCACUUACUACUGCAACUUAGUUUAUUUAGAAUAAUCAACUUGCACUUGAUAGGAGAGAUUUCUCAGUAGCGGCCUGCUGUUUUGGAAACGCUAGACUUUGAACGUCUAUUCAGGAUGUUCGACUCAUC